GCUAUCUGCGAUUCGUGUAGGAUUUGAACCUGCAGCAGGUCGAGUCGAACGAAGAGAGACAGCGUUGCGACAGCAACGACCCGAAGGGCGAGGCGAAGCCGAGUCAUCCUGCACGACCCACCA
rfam:Erwinia billingiae strain Eb661 complete chromosome.